rfam:Shigella dysenteriae Sd197, complete genome.
AACGAUACUAUUUUCUUAGAUGGUAAAUAUCUCGCCUGUGCUAUAUUUUGUUUUUCGGUUAGUUAAAUAUCGUACGUUCAUAUUUGAACGUUCUGCCGGAAUGCAUUAUCAAUAGAGGUAAAGUCGCAACCCCAAAUCGUAAAGGAAACCGUAGCACGUCUUAAGCAAGAACGUGCUGCG